UAAACACAUGUCAACCUCUCCUUCACUUUACUAACGUGUUCAACAAAGAAGGGGUCCACGACCUCUUUCCUCCCUCUUCUCUCUUCUGCAGGUCAAAGCAACCAGCCAAAUUCCUAUCCCCAAUUCUUUCCCUUUCCUACCCGUCUUCUUCUUCUCUCCUUCUUUCCUUCUCUGCAAAACUACUUCACCUCAUCCCAGAAUUCAAAAUUCAAAAUUUAAAAGUUAAACUCUCUCUCUCUCUCUCUCUUAUUUACCAUGAACGAACACACAAAUGCUAUGACUUUUCAUCUUCAUUUUAGAGUGAUCCAUGGUUGGAUGUUCUUCAAGAACAGGUUUGUAUGUCUCAUCAACAGUCAGAUCUGCAUCAAUGUUAGGUGUUUUCGGUAGAGAUGGAAUUCCACCACUGAUCGGUGCCUGAUUUGGUGGGGUUAAACCCGUACUGCAGCGACAUAUCAGAUUCCAGUCAAGCCUAGGGUUCCGGCGACCCCUGUUUCAUCUGUUCAAAAACCCUUUUCCCAACGCGUUUUCUUCAUAUCUUUGCUUUUCUUCGUUGUUUUUGACGAUUUCGUUUACAUAUUCGUGUAGAUCGUUCUUUGAUCUACGUUUUGUGUAUGGAUUUUAUGUGUUUUGAUGAAACUUUUGUCAACGAUCAUUGUGGUUCUUUAUUGGUGGUCUUGUGAUGGUUGUGGUGAAGCAUUAGAGAAGAAAAGAAAUUGUUGCUGGGGAAGAGAGUAUGUUGAUACAUUCUGUACUAAAAUUGUGGGUUGUGGGUUGAAUUUUUUAUAAGAAUUUUUUAUGGUAAUUCCAUUAUAACUUGAUACAUUCUGUACUAAACUUGAUGCAAAUAUGUACUAAAACUGUGGGUCUGUUUGUGGUAAAGUGGGUGUUGUUUAAGGGCCUCAAUCAGUUUUCAUUUCACUUUUAUGAUUAUUUGAAUGUUAAGAUUAUUUGAUUUUUGUUAACCUGACAUAGAAUUUGGGUUUGAAGUUCAUUUGAAAUUGAAGUGAUCUAAUUGUUAGUUUAUUUUUUAGUAAUUAGCGCUUAAAUUUUUUAACAUCUGUCUCAUUUACGCGGUGUCUUUUACUCUUCAGAGUAGAGCAAACCCUAAUUUCAUCCACUACCACAUUGGCCACUUGCUGUUCCCCUCUUUUCCUUCACCCGGAACCCUAAAAUUGCUAGCCGCUUUGUUCUUCUUUCGGAUCUUUAUGAUACUGCACAAAUCGGGUUGAAUCUUCGCUUGAUCUCCUAAAAUCAAUGCAUAAAUCUAUCAUGGCUCCUCUUCAAUCGUCAAUUUCUCUUCAAUCAUCAAUUUGGUAUGUUACUUGCCUGCUUUUCAUUUUAGAUGAUCUUUCUUUAUGGUUUUGUAUGGUGGAUCCUUUUGUUGUGAGAGUAGACCCUUUAAUUGAAGAACUUGUGACACAAAAUUAGAGUAAGAAAGGGGUUGACAGGUCGCUUUGUAACACCCUCAUCAAAUCCUUAAUCAGGUAUGUUUUUUUGGUAAGAAGUAGUUUUGAUUGUUAUUGUGGAUAAUUCGCUUAGAUUCAUUUAUUCAGAUGAUUUUAAUAUCUCUUUAUAAUUCGAUAAUUGAUAUGAGAUUUUUGUAUUGUUUGUUUCAGGAUUUCAAGAUACGGGUUUAAUUAAAAAUGCAAUCUUCAUAUCGUUAUUUAGAUCAUAUGAAAAAGAUACUUCUAGGAGUGUUUAGACGCAUCUUUGAAAUUACUAUGUUGACUUUUACAGUGAUAAAUGAUCAGAUAAUUAGAUUAUCACUUGCUUGAAGCAAGGACACUUGUAUUUUUACAAUUCUUAAUUGUAUGUAGGUAUGAUGCUUAUUCACCUUAGUGGCUAAAGGGAAUUGUGGGGCAAAGGGUAUAUGGCUUUGCUAUAUAAAUAUUUUUUAUACAAAGAUAGUACAUGUGCGGACAUGUUUAUUGACCUGACAUGGAACCGGGUAUUUAAAAAAACCCGAUUUGUGCACCUCUAACUGUAAGUAAUGUAAAUGGCCCAAAAGAGAAUUAUUUUUUAUCACAAUUCUCUUUGUUAGUCUGUAGAAGUAUUUCACUAUUAUAUGUAAUAAAUUAUUUUAUUGAUAGGUAUUCUAUAUAAGUUAUGGUUUAUACUUCUUUUUUAAUAUUUUAACCGAGUUUGUAAUGUUGGAAACGAAGGAUAGUUUGCAGAGAAUGGGAUAGCUGCCCACCGCACUCGGGGGUGACACCAGGAAUUCCGGCACUUGAACUACCCAACCUCAAGUUUGGAGGAAUGCGAGAUAAAGUUUGGACGUCUGAAGGUUUUCCGUAUCCAUACAAAGAAGAUGAAGCUUUCUGAUGAUCUUUCAGGUUUGGUCCUUCACCAACGGGUUUAUGAGGGUUCUUCAACUUUCGGUACGGAGGAAACACAAAGAAGAGGUUGAUACAGCCCGUAUACACAAGGUUAUGUAAUUGUUUACCCAAAGCCCUCUAUCAUAAACCUGCUCGAUUCUCAACUGGGGGUUUAUGAUGUAUCAUUUUAAUAUUAGUUCUUUCUGUUCAAAUUUGUAUAUCGUGCUAAUUUAGAAGUGAUUGUAGGUUCAAGUACAAAAUAAGAUAAACGGAGAAGCCGAAUAAUUUCGGCAGUGGAAAUCAUCACGUGAAAAAGAAGGCAACUAAAUAAUGGAGGAGAAACGAGUAUGAAUGGCACAAAUUCCAGGUUCUUAAUCAAUCCAAAAAAUGAACCUUAGGUGUUUUAAAGGAUUAGAGAAGAGGCUCCACCUGCAACCCAAAAGUUAAAAGACUUGCUAGAAGCCUGGAAGUUUACAAGUACACAGGGAUAUAAUUUUUUUUGACCGAAUAACAUUUUCAGUCCAUGUGGUUCCAGCAACCAAUUUUUAAAGGACAGUGGCGAUAUUUUGUAAUUGAGAUAUGGUGUAUUACAUUGACUAGCAGUGGGGAUGGAGCAAAUGAACAUGUAUACAACUGAAUAUUAAAGGACAAUGGUGAUAUUUUGAUAUAUCCCGACGUUAUCAAAUGUAAUAUGUAAUUUUAUCAACCUAUCAUUAUAUGUGAAUCAUGGUUUUAUGUUCU